rnacentral:rRNA from 1 species
AACAAACGCUGGCGGCGUGCCUAACACAUGCAAGUCGAACGAGAAAGUCGGUUUCGGCCGAUGAGUAAAGUGGCGCACGGGUGAGUAACGCGUGGAUAAUCUACCCUUUAGUCCGGAAUAACUUGCCGAAAGGUGCGCUAAUACCGCAUAAUGCCUGGCAACAUAAGUUGUCCGGCCAAAGAAGGCCUCUGCUUGCAAGCUUUCGCUAAAGGAUGAGUCCGCGUACCAUUAGCUAGUUGGUGGGGUAACGGCCUACCAAGGCGACGAUGGUUAGCUGGUCUGAGAGGAUGAUCAGCCACACUGGAACUGAGACACGGUCCAGACUCCUACGGGAGGCAGCAGUGAGGAAUAUUGCGCAAUGGGGGCAACCCUGACGCAGCAACGCCGCGUGAGUGAGGAAGGUUUUCGGACUGUAAAGCUCUGUCGAGCGGGAAGAAGUGUACCAUGGCUAAUAUCCAUGAUAUUUGACGGUACCGCUAGAGGAAGCACCGG